UCAAAGAUGACUCAAAUCAUACAAUAGGAGUGGAGUUUGGUUCAAAGAUAAUAAAUGUUGGUGGUAAAUAUGUAAAGUUACAGAUAUGGGAUACAGCAGGCCAAGAACGAUUCAGUUGUCUUCUCCCCUACACAGAUUUCAGAACCUUCACCUCUGGAAGCUUAAAGAGCAGCUUCUUGUCUUAAAGGACUGUUUUCUCCAGGUGACACUGACUUGCUAAAGAACGCGUUAGAAUCUCUCUUGAGCGAACGCAUCCUAACGUAGAGGCUGAGUUAUUCUUUGGGAUUAGCGAGUACAUUUGGAGGACGUGACCUUGUGUAUUCUGCAGUAUACUUUGAGAUUAAAAUUAAGGCAAAGUAAUAGCACAACAAUUUCUUCUCUGUCUUCCACUUUUAAAGGAAAAUUUUUAAAAACCUCUUUUGCGGUUUUCUUUUGUUUUACAUUAACUAGCACGUGCUGAUGGCUGGUAUACGUUCCACCAAAUAUUCUCUCCUGCACAUUUUUAUUACACUAUAGUCAUAAUUGAUGUUUGAAAUUAUGACCCCAGAUCACUGCAUAGGAGGUUACAUGUUUAAUAGUCUGUAACUACUAAAGCAAGAAAGUAGAUUGAUAUUUUAGGUGUGUUUUUUGAACAGAUACACAAAGUCAAAACAGAACGGAUAUUCACGGUCUUAAAAUUCAGUUAAGUAAAACUCACUCUCACUAUACGCAUUUCAUUUCAUUAAAGUCAGGAGUAUAUUAUA